rnacentral:rRNA from 1 species
GAUGAACGCUAGCGAUAGGCUUAACACAUGCAAGUCGAGGGGCAGCACGGUUUUAGCUUGCUAAAAUUGGUGGCGACCGGCGCACGGGUGCGUAACGCGUAUGCAACUUACCUUAUAGAGGGGGAUAGCCCGUUUAACGACGGAUUAAUACCGCAUAUACAAUUAGCUCGGCAUCGAGUAAAUUGGAAAUGAAUUUCGCUAUAAGAUAGGCAUGCGUCCCAUUAGCUAGUUGGUGAGGUAACGGCUCACCAAGGCGACGAUGGGUAGGGGAACUGAGAGGUUGAUCCCCCACACUGGUACUGAGACACGGACCAGACUCCUACGGGAGGCAGCAGUGAGGAAUAUUGGUCAAUGGACGCAAGUCUGAACCAGCCAAAUCGCGUGAAGGAUGACUGUCUUAUGGAUUGUAAACUUCUUUUAUAUGGGAAUAAUCGCAAAUACGUGUAUUUGCUUGAAUGUACCAUAUGAAUAAGCAUCGGCUAACUCCGUGCCAGCAGCCGCGGUAAUACGGAGGAUGCGAGCGUUAUCCGGAUUUAUUGGGUUUAAAGGGUGCGUAGGUGGUCUGAUAAGUCAGCGGUGAAAUUUCUGAGCUCAACUCAGACACUGCCGUUGAAACUGUUGGACUUGAGUGUAGAUGAGGUAGGCGGAAUGCGUGGUGUAGCGGUGAAAUGCAUAGAUAUCACGCAGAACUCCGAUUGCGAAGGCAGCUUACUAAGGUACAACUGACACUGAAGCACGAAAGCGUGGGUAUCACAACAGG